rnacentral:rRNA from 1 species
UAGUGGCGAACGAAAAGGGAGAAGCCCAGCGCAUAACCUCUCGGGCCACCAGGCCUGCAGCGGAAUUUUGCGUAAAGGGAAUGAUCACGCACACGCUCGCAAGGGUGUGUGUGCCCAAUGUCACAUAGCAUUCGACCUAAGUCCAGUGGUGAAACUCUGCCGAACCUUUGUUGGUUCUACAUCUCCAUGGAGGGUGAAAGACCCGUGUGGCGAAUGCACAGUGUCUGGGUUUGAUUGUUUCCCUGAGAGUCGCGUUGCUUGAGCAUGCAGCGCUAAGCAGGACGUAGACUCGUCCUAAGGCUAAAUAUUUCCACAGAACCGAUAGCGAACAAGUACCGUGAGGGAAAGUUGAAAAGAACUCUGAAGAGAGAGUUAAAAGACCGUGAAACCGUUCAGGGUAGAGACUGAUGGAUUUGGCUUUCCGGUGACGGCAAAGAGAUGAAUAAAGACGCUGCCAUGAGUAGCCGUCUCCAGUGUGUGCAGGAGAUAAAUGGAAGACAGUGGGUCUGUGGUCAGUGAAACGGACGUUUAACAUAACGUGUGACGGUUGUAACACACUGUUGGGCCUAACGGACGGGGUAAUGGCGUCGAUGAUGAGUGAGAACCUGUAUUGCCUCGCGCUGCAGUCUAUUGCUUUGAUGGCGGCCUUGAGUUCGCACCCACUCUGAGAUCUCCUGCACCGUAGCCAUCGGAAUGCACCAACACUUUACGAGGUCAGGGUGCCGUUGCAUUCAUUUGCAAUGUUGUUCACGAGUUGCAUGUCCCGAGUUUUAACGCAGUGAGGCGUGUGUGUGUUUUCGCGCGCGCACGCCCAUCAUGUCGAUACAUAUGUGUUUGUGUGAAGGAGUUCUGUUGCUUCCUCACCCAGCUGACAGAUUCUCCGUAGAACUUGCGUGUGAACUCUCUGGGCCACCGGUGAUGCGAUACAUUUCCCCGUUGUGUGCGUCAUACACCCGAGGCUGCACUAGCACUGCAACGUCUCGA